rnacentral:lncRNA from 1 species
AGCUGGACGUCGGGAGUGCUAGUUUGGAGUACGCCAUUUGAGAGUAGGCGUGAGAAGUUGCUCUGUGUGCUGAGCGUUCUAAAGGAAGGCGUCCGUUGGCCUUCGUACCCGUCUUGAGUGAGGUGACGAGUGUUUUCUAGUACUGGGGUCGGCCGCGCAGCCCUCUCAGGGGUGGGUGGCAGGAAGAGUGCCGGGUCCCGCGUGGUGCAAAAGGUGGGUUCAGGUUUGCGGCCACACAGCGCUACUCAGGACUUUUUAGUCUUGUUUAUUUUCUCCGUGCCUGUUCCCGCCCCCCGCAGCUCCACCUCUGGGAGAGGGGCGGGUUCAGCUCCAGGAGGCGGGGACUUCCCGGCUUGGCGUGGCUGGGGUGUCCCGUGGACCCCAGUCUCGGCGCGGUGACCCACUUAUGGGACUUGGCCUUUCUUUGUUGUUUGUUUAAGGCAGGGUUUCUCAGCCUGGGCACUACUGAGGUUUUGGGCAACAGGUGAGACUCUGUCUCAAAAAAAAAAAAACAAGUGUGGAUUACAGUAUCUGUUGGGCCUACUAUCGUAAAACACAUACACAUGCAUGUGCACACACAAACCUCCAGGCUAUCACUUCAGUGCCAGCCAGCAGCAUUUCUUACUCUAACCACUGCAACUGUGUCCCUGCUUCAUCUUGGGGCUUCAUUCUCAUAUAUUUUCUUCACACAGCAGCCACAGAGAAGCUUUUACAAUGUAAACCAGAGUCUAUUACUUCUGUUCUCCAACUACUUCAGUGGCUAAAUUGGUACCAGUAGAGUGGGGUGCUGCCGUAGAUACUCAAAAAUGGGUAUGUGACUUUGGAACUGGGUAACAGGCAGGGUUUGGAACAGUUUGGAGGGCUCAGAAGAAGACAGGCAAAUGUGGGAAAGUUUGGAACUUCCUAGAGACUUGUUGAAUGGCUUUGCCCAAAAUGCUGAUAGCA